UCCAGACUCCUACGGGAGGCAGCAGUGGGGGAUAUUGCACAAUGGGGGAAACCCUGAUGCAGCGACGCCGCGUGUGGGAAGACGGUCUUCUGGAUUGUAAACCACUGUCCCCAGGGACGAAAAUGACGGUACCUGGGGAGGAAGCUCCGGCUAACUACGUGCCAGCAGCCGCGGUAAUACGUAGGUGGCAAGCGUUAUCCGGAUUUACUGGGUGUAAAGGGCGUGUAGGCGGGAAAGCAAGUCAGAUGUGAAAACCAUGGGCUCAACCUGUGGCCUGCAUUUGAAACUGUUUUUCUUGAGUACUGGAGAGGCAGACGGAAUUCCUCGUGUAGCGGUGAAAUGCGUAGAUAUGAGGAGGAACACCAGUGGCGAAGGCGGUCUGCUGGACAGCAACUGACGCUGGGGCGCGAAAGCGUGGGGAGCAAACAGGAUUAGAUACCCGUGUAUAC
rnacentral:rRNA from 1 species